UGUGUGUUAGUGGAAGCGUCUGGAAAGGCGCGCGAUACAGGGUGACAGCCCCGUACACAAAAAUGCACAUGCUGUGAGCUCGAUGAGUAGGGCGGGACACGUGGUAUCCUGUCUGAAUAUGGGGGGACCAUCCUCCAAGGCUAAAUACUCCUGACUGACCGAUAGUGAACCAGUACCGUGAGGGAAAGGCGAAAAGAACCCCGGCGAGGGGAGUGAAAAAGAACCUGAAACCGUGUACGUACAAGCAGUGGGAGCACGCUUAGGCGUGUGACUGCGUACCUUUUGUAUAAUGGGUCAGCGACUUAUAUUCUGUAGCAAGGUUAACCGAAUAGGGGAGCCGAAGGGAAACCGAGUCUUAACUGGGCGUUAAGUUGCAGGGUAUAGACCCGAAACCCGGUGAUCUAGCCAUGGGCAGGUUGAAGGUUGGGUAACACUAACUGGAGGACCGAACCGACUAAUGUUGAAAAAUUAGCGGAUGACUUGUGGCUGGGGGUGAAAGGCCAAUCAAACCGGGAGAUAGCUGGUUCUCCCCGAAAGCUAUUUAGGUAGCGCCUCGUGAAUUCAUCUCCGGGGGUAGAGCACUGUUUCGGCAAGGGGGUCAUCCCGACUUACCAACCCGAUGCAAACUGCGAAUACCGGAGAAUGUUAUCACGGGAGACACACGGCGGGUGCUAACGUCCGUCGUGAAGAGGGAAACAACCCAGACCGCCAGCUAAGGUCCCAAAGUCAUGGUUAAGUGGGAAACGAUGUGGGAAGGCCCAGACAGCCAGGAUGUUGGCUUAGAAGCAGCCAUCAUUUAAAGAAAGCGUAAUAGCUCACUGGUCGAGUCGGCCUGCGCGGAAGAUGUAACGGGGCUAAACCAUGCACCGAAGCUGCGGCAGCGACGCUUAUGCGUUGUUGGGUAGGGGAGCGUUCUGUAAGCCUGUGAAGGUGUGCUGUGAGGCAUGCUGGAGGUAUCAGAAGUGCGAAUGCUGACAUAAGUAACGAUAAAGCGGGUGAAAAGCCCGCUCGCCGGAAGACCAAGGGUUCCUGUCCAACGUUAAUCGGGGCAGGGUGAGUCGACCCCUAAGGCGAGGCCGAAAGGCGUAGUCGAUGGGAAACAGGUUAAUAUUCCUGUACUUGGUGUUACUGCGAAGGGGGGACGGAGAAGGCUAUGUUGGCCGGGCGACGGUUGUCCCGGUUUAAGCGUGUAGGCUGGUUUUCCAGGCAAAUCCGGAAAAUCAAGGCUGAGGCGUGAUGACGAGGCACUACGGUGCUGAAGCAACAAAUGCCCUGCUUCCAGGAAAAGCCUCUAAGCAUCAGGUAACAUCAAAUCGUACCCCAAACCGACACAGGUGGUCAGGUAGAGAAUACCAAGGCGCUUGAGAGAACUCGGGUGAAGGAACUAGGCAAAAUGGUGCCGUAACUUCGGGAGAAGGCACGCUGAUAUGUAGGUGAGGUCCCUCGCGGAUGGAGCUGAAAUCAGUCGAAGAUACCAGCUGGCUGCAACUGUUUAUUAAAAACACAGCACUGUGCAAACACGAAAGUGGACGUAUACGGUGUGACGCCUGCCCGGUGCCGGAA
rnacentral:rRNA from 1 species